GAAGCUUAAGCUUCUUAUCAUAUAGUAAUAUUUGUGAUUAUAUAAGAUUACUGUGGAUUCAUUUAUUUUUCGUGGGUACCAAUUUUCGUGAAUAUUUUCAUUUGGUGGUUUUACUAAAGUCUGCAUACAAUCCUAUGCACUUUAAAAUUGGUAUCCCUGGAAUAUUAAUAAGUCCACAGUAUGUAAAUUAUGGGAGUUUCUGGUUGUGUACUUAUUAUUAUGCAUUGUGACGUUAUGCUAGUGCUAGAGACAAAAUAUAGGUAUAUGUGGCAUUCGAGACAUUUUUAUGAAUGCAAUAUUUAAAGAUAUGGAUUCUUUCUUUCAUAAUGACAAGAUUUUACACCCAUCAAUAGGGUCUGUUUUUAACAUGGAGUAGACUAUCUAAGCUAGUCUUUUGAAAAUGUAUAUUUAAGUACAGUGUUUUG
rnacentral:lncRNA from 1 species